rnacentral:rRNA from 1 species
AACGAACGCUGGCGGCAUGCCUAACACAUGCAAGUCGAACGAGACCUUCGGGUCUAGUGGCGCACGGGUGCGUAACGCGUGGGAACCUGCCCUUAGGUUCGGAAUAACUCCCCGAAAGGGGUGCUAAUACCGGUUAAGGUCUUCGGACCAAAGAUUUAUCGCCGUUGGAUGGGCCCGCGUUGGAUUAGCUAGUUGGUAGGGUAAAAGCCUACCAAGGCGACGAUGCAUAGCUGGUCUGAGAGGAUGAUCAGCCACAAUGGGACUGAGACACGGCCCAGACUCCUACGGGAGGCAGCAGUGGGGAAUAUUAGACAAGGGGCGAAAGCCUGAUACAGCAAUGCCGCGUGAGUGAUGAAGGCCUUAGGGUUGUAAAGCUCUUUUACCCGGGAUGAUAAUGACAGUACCGGGAGAAUAAGCACCGGCUAACUACGUG